AACUGCCGCCACGCCCCUGACGACCGCCUCUGCUACGCCCCAAGCAAGGCUAUCUCAGUGUUCAUUGGAUAUCCAAGCCGCCACUCUAUUUGCUCAGCGCGGUUGUUGCGUUUGCUUGGUAGCCCAUUGGUCAGUACGUCUGCUCCUCAGGGUGGAGGCGGAGAUUCUUAGCAGACAAUUCUUCUAUAAUUGGUUACUUUUUAUGUCUUUGGCCAGUGGGCCUAGAUGCUAUUGGCCUUUAAGCAACCCUUGUGGCUGGAGGCCACUUAGAAAAAUGUGACCUUUGGAGUCAGACUUCGUCUUUGGCUGUGCCUUUUAGCCUUUCAGAGUUCUCUCUGCCUUCAUUUGGUGAGUGCUGGUAGCUGAUAGAAGAUAAGUACAGUGCGUGGUGUUUCACGGGCAUUUAUGGAAGACUCACUAUUCACCACUCACCCUCUCCAUCCAUGCUACCAGGCCAGGUUCUACAAUUCUGUGAGCCUGAGACUGCGCGUGCAAAGGCAUGUGCUUCACUAAGGUUAGAAUACUGACGGCUGGAAACAGAGCUCCAAGGAGCCACAGACACACUGCCAAGGCACGUAGCAUGACUGCAAGAGAGGAGGCAGGAGAUGUGGAAGAUCCGCCUAGCCAGAGGAAAGAAUUCAGAUUUGUAGCAGUGCUAAAUUUUCUCCAACACAUUUCAGGACAGUGACAAGGAAAUUAUGAGCCAACUCAAGGAGUAGGAGCUCGCUUGCCUCUCUUGUUUGCUAUUCCAGCAGGAAGCUGAGGCAGGGAGAUUGCUGUAAAUCAAAGCUACAAAAUGAGGCCUGGUCGGAAGUGAGGCCUUGUCACAAACAAAACAACGUGAUCAAAUAGCACCCUUUGAAAGCUGCUCAUUGCUGAUCCAGAAAUCCCUCUGUAAAAUAGCCUUCAGACUCCCCUAUUUCUCAUUCCCAUGGGACGCCCCCAGAGUGUGGACAGAAAUAGAGACUCUUGGAACUGCAUUGAACCCCAGACCUUUCAAAGCAUCCAUAACCGUGGGACAGAAGAGAGAAGGAGAUUCCAUUGCUCUUCGGUUUUUACCCAGUUGUCCCGUUACCUCAGUAAAGUUUCUUCUCCACAUUUAUUUAUUCCUCUGUAAUCUGUUCUCUCUUGACAAAGAGGAGGCCAGGCUUUGGUAGCUAAGGACUUUACUGAGGAACAACCUCCCCCAUGGUCCCGAGUUCUCUCCUGCCAAAACGGUUUAGGGCUUGAGAGAUGAGCUCUGGAUUUGUCACCAGAUAAGGAUGUUAACCAGCUUGGUGCGGUCACCUCACUGAUAACAGGUACCAAAGCAUCACGUGGUGGGCGUGGUGUAAGUAUGCACAACUGCCAAUUUAAAAGAAAAGUCUUAAAAGUGGGGAGCGUAUAAAUAGAUUUGCUGCCAGUCGAGAGAGUUGUCUUCAUGGCUGUGGGUGCAGGCGUUUGUGUGUGGGAGCGCACACUUGGUUCUGAGCUACAGCUUUCUGAUUCUUCCCUUUAAAUAGAGCUGGUUGGUGGCUAUACACAGGGCUGCACACGUGCUGAAGAAGCCGACUCAGUCUGAUAACAGGCCUCCUCCCUGCCUGUGAGUGCUGAGACACCAUCUCAGGCCUCGGGAUAUCUGCUGUGACUCCUGGGAAUCUCACAUGAGUUCCUUAGUUUGAAUCCCAGCCACCAAGGUGACCAUUGCAGUGAAUUGCCGAUGACUCACCAUGGUAAAAGUGGGGUUUUUUCCCUCCUGUGGCAGGAACCAAGGAUCGGCCAAGAGUGCUAGCAAAAGACAUCUGUCCACUUAGGAGGUCUCAAACAAUGAGUCACUGAAGUUCAAAAAGUGAGCAGGCAAAUCCUAGGCAGAGGCGGGAACUGGGAGGACAGGUGUCUCUUCUUUGUGACUGGGAGGCUCCAAGAAGGACUCAUUAUCAUAAGCUCCAAGCACUGUUUCCUGGUGUGUCUCCGGUUUCUAUUUCCGCCCCUCUUCCAGGGCUCCUGCCAUAUUCUGUUUAAUCAUAUUAUUUCACUUUACAAAGCAUCCCUGUGGGAGGUCACUUGGGGGGCAAAAAUAAUGGCCUCAUUUCUGCCUUCAAGUUUAGCAGCCUCCAAGGAUUGAGGACUUGGUGAGCCUUGGCCUGAGAUACUCAGGUGCCAGAACAUGUCUGUCUGUAAAGCUGAUUUGAGAACGCAGGAGAAUGGGAGAUGUGGCUCAGCUGGCAGUGCUUGCCUACAGAUCGCAAAGCCCUGGGCUCCAUCCUCAGCACAAGAUAGACAUGACGUAGUCAUGCAUGCACAUUUGUAAUUCCAGGACUCGGGGUGGAGGUAGGAUCGGAAGUUCAAGAUUACAUAGUGACAUCAUGACCCAACUCGUGUCAUGGUGACCCUGCUCACUUUCUAUGGUGACUGAUGCUCUAGGACUUCACUCGUGUGGAACUGGGUCUAACCUCAGUCAGAACCUCUCAACAGGCUUUGACCUGAGAGAAUCUAAAAGGCACGCUGGACGAGGAGGAAGCUGUAAUAUACACUCGGCUCUGCCCACAGUUUCCUAGCCUUGUCAAUCAUUCUCGGGUCUCAGGGAAUGACAGAGAUUAACUGGCUUUGGAAUCUCUGCUGUGGGCACUUGAACCCUGGUUCCGUCUUCCUUAUGUGGCCCUGGGAAGGCACAGUGGCUUUGCGUGCUGUCCUUUAUCACAUGGAGCCAAGUGUAAUGUGCUUCCCUCCUGGGGCCCUAUGACUAAGCAGAUGAGUUUGUAAUGGACAGUGUUUCAAGCAGACCUGGCAAAUGCCAAGCCCUGAAGAAAACUUGUAAUAGUUAUAAGAGGAGCCGCAGAAGAACUUUUCUCCAAAGUCUAUUUUCUGUUUUCUCCCUGGCGGUCAGACGAUUUUCAGCAUACACAUAAGCAUGAACGAAUGUGUGUAUGUAACUUUAUUCUAUUCAGGUUUUUAAAAACAAGGCCUCGUAGAACCCAGAAUGGUCUCCAACGUGUGCCCCCCCCCCACUUCAGCCUUCCCAGAGCACUGCCACACCCACCCUCUUUUGCUGGGGAUUAUCUGAAGUCAGAGGAUUAGACCUCAUCAGUUUAAUCACCGAGAGGGCAGUGGGGGAGCGGGAGGGGCUGAGAGCACGAUACACUCGAGGCUGCAAUGUGGAUGUUGACUCUAGGUUCUCCUGACAGUCCGAGGUGAGUCAGACUAAGGAAUGCAAGGUUGUUGAGUUAUUGUCACACCCUGUGCUGUGUAUGGGUAGUUUAGGUUCAGAAUGCACUGUGCCUCCUGGCCUGCUUCUCAUUGAUCGGACUGAUUACCUUGGCUGAGUAGCUCUCCCGCACAGUGUGUCAAUAGUCAAUGAAGCCCAGUGAGCGGAGGAUGCAAUUCAAGGACCUGGUUCCUUUUGAUGUUAGAAGCAGCUUCCAGCCCGCCGGAAGUGGUGGUGGGAAAAUAAACGAUUUGCUUUGUGCUGUU
rnacentral:sRNA from 1 species